rnacentral:rRNA from 1 species
CUACGGGGGGCUCCAGUGAGGAAUUUUGCGCAAUGGGGGCAACCCUGACGCAGCAACGCCGCGUGAGUGAAGAAGGCCUUCGGGUCGUAAAGCUCUGUCAAGGGGGAAAAAGGUCUUUUAGUGAACAGCUUUAAGGUUUGAUGGUACCCCUAGAGGAAGCACCGGCUAACUCCGUGCCAGCAGCCGCGGUAGAUACGGAGGGUGCGAGCGUUGUUCGGAAUUACUGGGCGUAAAGGGCGUGCAGGCGGUUUGGCAAGUCAGAUGUGAAAGCCCUGGGCUCAACUCAGGAAGUGCAUUUGAAACUGCCAUUCUAGAGUAUGGGAGAGGAGAGUGGAAUUCCCAGUGUAGAGGUGAAAUUCGUAGAUAUUGGGAGGAACAUCCGUGGCGAAGGCGACUCUCUGGACCGAUACUGACGCUGAGACGCGAAAGCGUGGGGAGCAAACAGGAUUAGAUACCCGGGUAGUC